CUCCCUUAAUUUGGGUUUCAUACAGAUAUUCACAGUCAGACUGUUGAAAAAGGUCAGACAUUUCCUUUGCCCAGGCUCCCCCUAUGGAUAGUAUUUUUUGUGCUAAGCCUCUCACUAUGGAUAGUAUUUUUUGUGCUAAGUCUCUCACUAUGGAUAGUAUUUUUUUGUGCUAAGUCUCCCACUUUGGAUAGUAUUUUUUUGUGCUAAGUCUCCCACUAUGGAUAGUAUUUUUUGUGCUAAGUCUCUCACUAUGGAUAGUAUUUUUUUGUGCUAAGUCUCCCACUAUGGAUAGUAUUUUUUGUGCUAAGCCUCUCACUAUGGAUAGUUGUUUUUGUGCUAAGUCUCCCACUUUGGAUAGUAUUUUUUUGUGCUAAGUCUCCCACUUUGGAUAGUAUUUUUUAUGCUAAAUCUCCCCCUAUAGAUUCGUAUUUUUUGUGCUAAGUCUAAGUCCAUAAUGGUUACUAUACUACCUUAGUCUUAAGCUAGUGUUUAUGUCUGUUACCAGGCCGUCCUGAGUUCCAGAACUGAGGGAGACUCGAAGCUGCAGGACUUGAGGAGACAAUGUCAAAGUCUGUGUGAACAUCAGGACCUGGAGGAGAGCAGGAGACAAGAGGUUCAGCAGACAGUCAGAGAAAUGGAAGAGGAGUGGAGGAGAGUCCUACAGGCUGCAAAAGAGGCGCUGGAUCGGAUAGAGGUACUAGAAAAAGAGCUGAGAGCUUUUGAAACCUGGAAGGAAGGCGCUCGGGUCUGGGUGAAAGACCAGAAACAACAGCUACACUCUCAGAGCAGCCAGACCAAGACUGAGGAGAGACUACAUACCACACAGGCUGUCCUGAAUUCCAGACCUGAGGGAGACUCUAAGCUGCAGGACUUGAGGAGACGAGGUCAGAGUCUGUGUGAACAUCAGGACCUGGAGGAGAGCAGGAGACGAGAGGUUCAGCAGACAGUCACAGACAUGGAGGAGGAGUGGAGAAGUGUCCUGCAGACUGCUGAGGAUACUAGGCGUCAGGCCCAGGUGUGGUAUUCUCUCUCCAGGCAGCUAGAGGCCUUCCAGGCCCUGGAGGAGAGCAGCAGAGACUGGUUCAAACUGCAGCAGCAGAACACACACUCCCUGGGAACAGGCACCCGGGGCAGCAAGGAAGAGAUCCAGGACAGGCUGCAGAGAGCAAAGGCUGUCCUGAGUUCCAGACCUGAGGGAGACUCUAAGCUGCAGGACUUGAGGAGACAAGGUCAGAGUCUGUGUGAAAACCAGGACCUGGAGGAGAGCAGGAGACUAGAGGUUCAGCAGACAGUCAGAGACAUGGAGGAGGAGUGGGGAGAAGUUGUACAAAAGGCUGAGGUGGUGCACAGGUACAGUGACAUUUUAUUGCAUGUAAAGGUGUGUAAUGAAUAAAAAAACGACCGUGUGAAACAACAAUGUUUCCCUGGUGUGUCAGACUGUUGCAAGGUGUGGUGGAACGCCUGGUGUCCUGUCAGUACCAGAAGUGUCAAGCCCAGUCCCGUCUGGCUGAGCUCCAGCAACAGACAGCAGAGCUGCCCCGUCACUUCCCCUGGCCUGGGCUGGGAGACCGGGGGCAGGCUGUGGAGACGGCCAGGACCCUGCUGGAUAAAACCAGGAACCUGGCCCCAGCCCUCUCUGUCCUCCACACCCAGGGCAAGGAAAUGUUCCAGCUUACCCAGGACCCCAGCUGGACAGACCUCUCCUGGGCCACCAUGGAGGAAUGCAUCCCUGCCCUUCUCAAAGAACUGACGGUGGGUGUUAGAUCUCCCCAAUCAUACUGAUCAGUGAUACACUCAUCUGUAGUAUUCGGUGCAUUCGGAAAGUAUUUAGACCACUUGACUUUUUCCCAAAAUCUUUACUAUACAGCCUUAUUCUAAAAUGGAUUUGAUUGUUUUUUUCCCUCAUCAAUCUACACACAAUUCCCCAUAAUGCAAAAGUAUAAAACAUUUAAAACUGAAAUAUCACAUAUACAUAUGUAUUCAGACUAUUGACUCAGUACUUUGUGUGAAAGGCCGUACCUAUUCACUGACGAAAUCCUCGGCGGGACAGCACGAAAUGAGACGCAGAGAUGUGACUUCAACAAAAAAAAGGAAACUAUAUUGGAAGUUCUUGUUUCAACUCUCCCCGGGACCGUACAAACAAAGGCCAGGGUAAUGGCUAUCCAAACAAAACUCCCCAAAAAUAAACUAACAGUUGGUACCCAACACCACUCCAACAGCUUGAGCCGAACCUAUAACAGGGGAUCCUACUAUCCUGGAAUUCGGCAUAGUCUCCGGCUGUUAAUCACUCUGCCCCUUCAGUCAGGUCCUUAAGAGAGCACAAACAAUCAGUCAAUUGGCCUCAGGUGAGCUCGUCAGUAGUGGCUGUACUGCGGCCCACCUCCAGGAGAGGGU
rnacentral:lncRNA from 8 species